UAAACUGAAUUCGUCGAGUCCU
rnacentral:siRNA from 1 species